GGAGCUUGAUGAGAUUUGUUAUGAUUGCGAUUGGAUGGCCCCUAGAUACACAUUAGUACCUUCACUAGCAGAUGGAAUGCACGUCUGUGAAGUACGUGUGAAAUGCCCUGAUUUUGAGAUGAGCAUCACUGGUGAUCCUUGUCCGACCCCACAUGACGAGAGGUGCUCUGCAGCUGCCAAUAUGAUACUGGAGCUUGGCAAGAAGGCGGAGGAAAACGAACAACAUGAUAACUGAUGCAAAGUUGCUAGCUGGGAACUAGCAGGCGCUGAGGCCAAUAUUGCCAAAGAGUGAAAUAAAGCAACUUAGCUAUUUGUUGUUCUGAUGUAUGAACGACUUAAUGAUUUGUGUUGUACAAGUUUGUACUGUAUUGCAUUGUGGCACAUGCGCGCCGACCAUGUGCUCAAACGGAUUAUUUUUACCAUUAUUAUUGAAUUUUC